GAUGAACGCUGGCGGCGUGCCUAAUACAUGCAAGUCGAGCGAACAGACGAGGAGCUUGCUCCUCUGACGUUAGCGGCGGACGGGUGAGUAACACGUGGAUAACCUACCUAUAAGACCGGGAUAACUUCGGGAAACCGGAGCUAAUCCCGGAUAAUAUAUUGAACCGCAUGGUUCAAUAGUGAAAUACGGUUUUGCUGUCACUUAUAGAUGGAUCCGCGCCGCAUUAGCUAGUUGGUAAGGUAACGGCUUACCAAGGCAACGAUGCGUAGCCGACCUGAGAGGGUGAUCGGCCACACUGGAACUGAGACACGGUCCAGACUCCUACGGGAGGCAGCAGUAGGGAAUCUUCCGCAAUGGGCGAAAGCCUGACGGAGCAACGCCGCGUGAGUGAUGAAGGUCUUCGGAUCGUAAAACUCUGUUAUUAGGGAAGAACAAAUGUGUAAGUAACUAUGCACGUCUUGACGGUACCUAAUCAGAAAGCCACGGCUAACUACGUG
rnacentral:rRNA from 1 species